UAUUUUGGUUGCAUCUGUGAUGUGCAUUUGAAUUAUUUUAAGCCUGAGCUCACAAGAGAAACUUUUCCUCCAGCUCUAAAGGUUGCAGUCAGCAUCGAGCCGAUCCGGAAGUCACUGGAUUAGGAAGGCUUUCCUUAGGUUCCCAGAGAUUUUGCGAACAUUACACUGAAUUGGAGCUGACAAAGAGGAAUAGCAAUAUUUGGAAAACUGCAAGAAAUUAUGUGACAGGAUGAAAAGACCAAUGGAGAUUUAAAUUAAUAUAUUUGAUUAUGAAAACCUACCAGUUGGUUGAGAGCAUAUUCAGCAUAGCAUCAAUUAUCUGACUGACCUGGAAAACAUCUAACAAUAAAAGGCGCCGAUUACUGGAAUCGCCACAAUCCAUCCUCGUUGCCAGUUUUGAGGAUUGACAGAAGGACAAGACUGGAGCCAGGACUGACAGAACAAGCAGUUUAUUCACGGAUUUCUACAAGAUUGUUUUCCCUCGUGUUUCUGAGCUUUGGGCAAGAAAUUCUGAAGUGCCUUUAAAAAAAAUACAUUAUUUUCCUAGAAGAUGAAGAGAGUAUUUGCAUUAGAGUUGAAAUUGGACAGGUCACAUUAUUUCCUCUCAAGGUAAGCAAUG